UUUUUCUAGCUUUAAAAAAUAUUGUCUUGGUGUUUAAAGGAUAGUGGAACCACAUUGAUCCAUUUCGAACUCAAUGGUGAAACGCUAUAACAGUUACAAUACUUAAGGAG
rnacentral:rRNA from 1 species